UCCAUUUAUCCCAAAACUUUCUCUUUCUUCCUCCCUAACUCUCUCGUUCUUAUCUCUUUCAAGAACAGUAAAAAAACAAAUUGAUAUAAACUCUAGAUCUAACAAUUCAUCCCCAAAUUACCACACAAAUAUUUCAAGAAAAAAUCCAAUCAAAUUCAAGUUCUAUAACAAUCAAGUACGGAAGAGGAUGAAGAGGUGCGGCGGAUAGGCGGCGAUUUGGGGUUUCAGACGUGAAAACCAAAUUGAGAACGACGGCAAUCCUUUUUGUGACUUUCGGUUUAGGGUUCCACCGAUUCUACUUCUUCUUCUCAAUUUUUUUCGGUUAAUUUUUUUGGUCCCUUAAUUCAUUAGUUUUAGGUUUAAAUUUAUAGUGUUAGGGUUCAAUUUGAUUUAGGAAAUAUUCUGAUUGUUGUUUAUGAGAUUUGACUGUAAAUUGAUUACGGAUUCAAUUUGAUUUAAAAACAUAUUGAUUCAGACUUUAAGUUUUUGAUU